AUACCUUUCUCGGCCUUUUGGCUAAGAUCAAGUGUAGUAUAUGUUCUUAUCAGUUUAAUAUCUGAUUUGUGAUCUAUCGGGCCACACGAUAUUAACUCUAUUUUUUUAGGAAGAAAGUCCAAGACUCAGAACUAAGCUUCUGGUGAAAACUCAGAAAGAUCUCCCCAAGAAACUGCUUUUUCUCUUGGUGGGAUUCUACUCU
rnacentral:snRNA from 2 species